rnacentral:rRNA from 1 species
GACGUAGGGGGCCAGCGUUGUUCGGAAUUACUGGGUGUAAAGGGUUCGUAGGCGGUGCGGCAAGUUGGGAGUGAAAUCUCUGGGCUUAACCCAGAGGCUGCUUCCAAAACUGCUGCGCUUGAGUGUGGGAGAGGCGCGUGGAAUUGCAGGUGUAGCGGUGAAAUGCGUAGAUAUCUGCAGGAACACCCGUGGCGAAAGCGGCGCGCUGGACCACUACUGACGCUGAGGAACGAAAGCUAGGGGAGCAAACAGG